rnacentral:misc_RNA from 2 species
AAUCCUCAAGCUUGGAUGGUUUUCCGUCUCAAGCUUGGUAUUGGGCUUUGCUGUGCCUUUCGUUGGAACAGCUGGCCUUAAAAGCAUUAGCUGAUCCUCAUGUGUGGCAUUGGUUCUGCUCAGCGUGAUAAUGAUAUUGACCGCUGGGGACAUCUUUCUAGAUGGCCGAUUCUCUCAUUUGGGUUGCUUCUAAUUUGGCUUUGACAGGUUCUGAUCAGAUCUGUUUUGCCCUUCUG